GACGAACGCUGGCGGCGUGCCUAACACAUGCAAGUCGAACGGAGCUGUUUUGACUGAUCCCUUCGGGGUGACGAUGAUUCAGCUUAGUGGCGGACGGGUGAGUAACGCGUGAGCAACCUGCCUUUCAGUGGGGGACAACAGUUGGAAACGACUGCUAAUACCGCAUAAUAUCCUUUUGGGGCAUCCCUUUUGGAUCAAAGAUUUAUUGCUGAAAGAUGGGCUCGCGUCUGAUUAGCUAGUUGGUGGGGUAACGGCCCACCAAGGCGACGAUCAGUAGCCGGACUGAGAGGUUGAACGGCCACAUUGGGACUGAGAUACGGCCCAGACUCCUACGGGAGGCAGCAGUGGGGAAUAUUGGGCAAUGGGGGAAACCCUGACCCAGCAACGCCGCGUGAGGGAAGAAGGUCUUCGGAUUGUAAACCU
rnacentral:rRNA from 1 species